ACUUUACAAUGCGGGAAACCGUGAUAAGGGGACACCGAGUGCUAGCAUCAUAUGCUAGCUGUCCAGGCGUGUAAACUACGCCUGUUAGCAAGGGCCGGGCAAGACCGGUGCCAGCCGCCGCGGUAAUACCGGCGGCUCGAGUGGUGGCCACUAUUACUGGGCUUAAAGCGUCCGUAGCUUGGUUGUUAAGUCUCCUGGGAAAUCCAUCGGCUCAACCGAUGGGCGUUCAGGAGAUACUGGCAACCUAGGGACCCGGGAGAGGUGAGAGGUACUCCAGGGGUAGGAGUGAAAUCCUGUAAUCCUUGGGGGACCACCUGUGGCGAAGGCGUCUCACUAGAACGGCUCCGACAGUGAGGGACGAAAGCU
rnacentral:rRNA from 1 species